rnacentral:rRNA from 1 species
GAUGAACGCUAGCGGCAGGCUUAAUACAUGCAAGUCGAGGGGCAGCAUGACUGUAGCAAUACAGUUGAUGGCGACCGGCAAACGGGUGCGGAACACGUACAGAACCUUCCUUCGAGCGGGGAAUAGCCCAGAGAAAUUUGGAUUAAUACCCCAUAGUACAACGGAGUGGCAUCACUUUGUUGUUAAAGAUUUAUCACUUGAAGAUGGCUGUGCGGCUGAUUAGGUAGUUGGCGGGGUAACGGCGCACCAAGCCUGCGAUCAGUAACUGGUGUGAGAUCACGACCAGUCACACGGGCACUGAGACACGGGCCCGACUCCUACGGGAGGCAGCAGUAAGGAAUAUUGGUCAAUGGACGAAAGUCUGAACCAGCCAUGCCGCGUGGAGGAUGAAGGUCCUCUGGAUUGUAAACUUCUUUUAUAUGGGACGAAAAAAGGGUUUUCUAACUCGUCUGACGGUACCAUAUGAAUAAGCACCGGCUAACUCCGUGCCAGCAGCCGCCGUAAAAC